GACGAACGCUGGCGGCGUGCUUAACACAUGCAAGUCGAACGAAGAGCGAUGGAAGCUUGCUUCUAUCAAUCUUAGUGGCGAACGGGUGAGUAACGCGUAAUCAACCUGCCCUUCAGAGGGGGACAACAGUUGAAAACGACUGCUAAUACCGCAUACGAUCUAAUCUCGGCAUCGAGGAUAGAUGAAAGGUGGCCUCUACAUGUAAGCUAUCACUGAAGGAGGGGAUUGCGUCUGAUUAGCUAGUUGGAGGGGUAACGGCCCACCAAGGCGAUGAUCAGUAGCCGGUCUGAGAGGAUGAACGGCCACAUUGGGACUGAGACACGGCCCAGACUCCUACGGGAGGCAGCAGUGGGGAAUCUUCCGCAAUGGACGAAAGUCUGACGGAGCAACGCCGCGUGAGUGAUGACGGCCUUCGGGUUGUAAAGCUCUGUUAAUCGGGACGAAAGGCCUUCUUGCGAAUAGUGAGAAGGAUUGACGGUACCGGAAUAGAAAGCCACGGCUAACUACGUG
rnacentral:rRNA from 1 species